GGUGAUGUAGCUCAGUUGGUAGAGCAUCGGACUGAAAAUCCGUGUGUCGGCGGUUCGAAUCCGCCCAUCACCA
rfam:Flammeovirga sp. SJP92 Scaffold5_1, whole genome shotgun sequence.